UACGUAGGGUGCAAGCGUUAAUCGGAAUUACUGGGCGUAAAGCGUGCGCAGGCGGCUUUGCAAGACAGAUGUGAAAUCCCCGGGCUCAACCUGGGAACUGCAUUUGUGACUGCAAGGCUGGAGUACGGCAGAGGGGGAUGGAAUUCCGCGUGUAGCAGUGAAAUGCGUAGAUAUGUGGAGGAACACCGAUGGCGAAGGCAGCCCCCCUGGGUUAACACUGACGCUCAUGCACGAAAGCGUGGGGAGCAAACAGG
rnacentral:rRNA from 1 species